AACGAACGCUGGCGGCGUGUUUAAGACAUGCAAGUCGCACGGUGUCAUUUUGGUAGCAAUACUUGGAUGGCACAGUGGCGCACGGGUGAGUAACACGUGAAUGACAUGCCCUUCAGAGGGGGAUAGCCCAGGGAAACUUGGAUUAAUACCCCAUGGUCUCGCAAGAGUAAAGGUGGCCGCAAGGCUGUCGCUGGAGGAUUGGUUCGCGUUCUAUCAGCUUGUUGGCGGGGUAACGGCCCACCAAGGCUACGACGGAUACCUGGUCUGAGAGGACGGUCAGGCACACUGGAACUGAGACACGGUCCAGACACCUACGGGUGGCAGCAGUCGAGAAUAAUUCACAAUGGGGGCAACCCUGAUGGUGCAACGCCGCGUGGAGGAUGAAGGUCUUCGGAUUGUAAACUCCUGUCAUCCGGGAGCAAGACCUGACGGUGAAUAGCCGGCAGGGUUGAUAGUACCGGAAGAGGAAGGGACGGCUAACUUCGUGCCAGCAGCCGCCGUAAGAC
rnacentral:rRNA from 1 species